AUUGAACGCUGGCGGCAGGCCUAACACAUGCAAGUCGAGCGAGCGGCGGAAGGGUGAGAACUGUAUGGGGACUGCCCGAUAGAGGGGGAUAACUACUGGAAACGGUGGCUAAUACCGCAUACUAUCGGAUAACCCAUAUGGGAUUAGAUCGUAGGUAGGGGAAUGGCUUACCUAGGCGACGGUCCCUCGCUGGUCUGAGAGGAUGAUCAGCCACCCUGGGACUUAGCCACGGCCCAGACUCCUACGGAGGCAGCAGUGGGGAAUAUUGCCCAAUGGGCGCAGUCCUAAUGCAGCCAUGCCGAGUGUAUGAAGAAGGCCCUAGGGUUGUAAAGUACUUUCAGUCGGGAGGCGUUACCGACAGAAGAAGCACCGGCUAACACCGUGCCAGCAGCCGCGGUAAUUC
rnacentral:rRNA from 1 species